rnacentral:rRNA from 1 species
GUCUUCUUGUUUUGAAUUGGAAGUUUGGCCUGCCCGGUGAGAGUUUUAACGGCCGCGGUAUUUUGACCGUGCAAAGGUAGCAUAAUCAUUAGUUUUUUAAUAGGGGGCUGGAAUGAAGGGUUUGACGAAUUAAUAACUGUCUCAGAUUAAUUGAUUAAAAUUUAAUUUUUAGGUUAGAAAGCUUAAAUUUUAUUGGAAGACGAGAAGACCCUAUAGAGCUUUAUAAUUAAAGAUUUAAUUUUUUUUUGUUUAUUCUUUUUAAUUAUAUGUUUAUUUAUUUUGUUGGGGUGACAGUAAAUAUGUGUUUAACUUUUAUAUUUUUAUUACAUUGAUUUAUGGUUAUUAGAUCCAUUAUUAUUGAUCAUUAGAAUAAGUUACCUUAGGGAUAACAGCGUAAUCCUCUUUGGAAGUUCAUAUUUAUAGGAGGGCUUGCGACCUCGAUGUUGGAUUAAGAUUAUAAUUAGGUGCAGUAGCUUAAUUAAUGGGUCUGUUCGACCUUUAAUUUCUUACAUGAUCUGAGUUCAGACCGG